GUCCAGGGGUAGUCCAGUGGUUAAGAUUUUGGGCUACUGAUUGGAAAGGUCUUGGGUUCAAAUCCCAGCACCACA